rnacentral:rRNA from 1 species
UGGGGAAUCUUGCGCAAUGGGCGAAAGCCUGACGCAGCGACGCCGCGUGGGGGAUGAAGGCUCUCGGGUUGUAAACCCCUUUCGGCAGGGAAGAAGCGACAGUGACGGUACCUGCAGAAGAAGUCCCGGCCAACUACGUGCCAGCAGCCGCGGUAAAACGUAGGGGACGAGCGUUGUCCGGAUUUAUUGGGCGUAAAGAGCGCGCAGGCGGCUUCGCAAGUCGGGUGUGAAAAUCCGGGGCUCAACCCCGGACCUGCAUUCGAUACUGCGUGGCUAGAGGCAGGCAGGGGAGAUCGGAAUUCCUGGUGUAGCGGUGAAAUGCGCAGAUAUCAGGAGGAACACCGGUGGCGAAGGCGGAUCUCUGGGCCUGUCCUGACGCUCAGGCGCGAAAGCUAGGGGAGCGAACAGGAUUAGAUACCCCGGUAGUCC